CUAGUGUAUAUUAUUUAGGGGGGGCUGGGAGUUAAAGUGAUAAUCCUCAUAAAAUUUCCCUAUGCAACAGUUUCCAAAUCGCUGUNNNCUCUUUUAAAAUCGGGAUUUAGGUUUUUCCUCAUGGGUCAAGUGAGAAAGAAUCCACUUUAGGGGCUUCCUGGGUCACAUUAGCAAAAUAGACGUACUUAAAAGUAAGUCUUAAAGUAAGACUGAAAUCAUUAAUGCAGGGACAAAUCGCUCGGUGACUCUGAAAAGAGUAAGCCGCAACAAGGUAAGAGUACUGGAAGGUGCUCU
rnacentral:rRNA from 1 species